rnacentral:rRNA from 1 species
UACGUAGGGUCCGAGCGUUGUCCGGAGUUACUGGGCGUAAAGCGCACGCAGGCGGUCUUGUCAGUCUGUAGGGACAGGGCACAGCUCAACUGUGUCAGGCUUAUGGAAACUGCAAGACUUGAGGGCUUCAGAGGGAUGGGGAAUUCCGGGUGGAGUGGUGAAAUGCGUAGAGAUCCGGAAGAACACCAAAGGCGAAGGCACCAUCCUGGGGAGUCACUGACGCUCGGGUGCGAAAGCUAGGGGAGCGAACGGG